rnacentral:rRNA from 1 species
GAUGAACGCUGGCGGCGUGCCUAAUACAUGCAAGUCGAGCGAACGGACGAGAAGCUUGCUUAUCUGAUGUUAGCGGCGGACGGGUGAGUAACACGUGGAUAACCUACCUAUAAGACUGGGAUAACUUCGGGAAACCGGAGCUAAUACCGGAUAAUAUUUUGAACCGCAUGGUUCAAAAGUGAAAGACGGUCUUGCUGUCACUUAUAGAUGGAUCCGCGCUGCAUUAGCUAGUUGGUAAGGUAACGGCUUACCAAGGCAACGAUGCAUAGCCGACCUGAGAGGGUGAUCGGCCACACUGGAACUGAGACACGGUCCAGACUCCUACGGGAGGCAGCAGUAGGGAAUCUUCCGCAAUGGGCGAAGGCCUGACGGAGCAACGCCGCGUGAGUGAUGAAGGUCUUCGGAUCGUAAAACUCUGUUAUUAGGGAAGAACAUAUGUGUAAGUAACUGUGCACAUCUUGACGGUACCUAAUCAGAAAGCCACGGCUAACUACGUG